GUUGAAACACCUGUUCUCAUACGGUCACCGAAGUUAAGCAACGUUGAGCAGGCUCAGUACAGUACCUAGAUAGGUGACCGCUUGGUAAUAUCAAGUGUUGUAAG